UGUAUCUGAAGCCUGACGAGGAUGAGAACCUCCGGGGGCAAGAGGUUCGACCCGAGCGAAGAGAGAAAACGUUGCGUCAGCAACGGCCCGCAGGGCGAGCCACGUAGUGGCGAGUCAUCCUCUAUCACCGACCA
rnacentral:sRNA from 1 species